rnacentral:lncRNA from 13 species
CUGACAGUAAACCAAAACUGAGUCUAGAGGCAGAGAAAGACAGACAGAGGGCAGGGCAUUAGGGCAUCAGUCUGUUUAAUGGCUGAGGUAAUUGCAAGAGGGAUGAAUCAUUAAGUCACUUAGGCUCUGUUAUCUCAGCAAACAAAUGGGGAAUCACCUCACUCAGUCUGAUUCAGAGAAACCCUUACUGUGAGCAGGGAAACAAUGUCAGCAAAUGCAUGUCUGGACUGACUGAUGAAACCAUGCUGAAGCUGGAUGAAAUCACUGCCUCAUACCAAUAGAAAUUCAGAGUGUAGUCAGUGCAAAUGAGCAGCCGGGGCAGUGAUUCACGCCCUGGCGCAGGGAUGUCAGGUUCUGUCAGAGCCAGUCUCUGGGUGAUGCUGGCACACAGCAGCCCCAGGCAGGUGCAGGGGGGCUGGAGAGGCACCACCAACAGAGGAGGGAGGCCUUUCUUUUCUGUUUGCCAACAAAGAAACAGCCCGGGUCAACACAGACCUUCCUCAGAGGGACACUCACAUUGCCUGCUACAGGGGUGACGUGUGAAGGUUAUGUGAACACAGUAUGGAUGCCAGCAGCUGGUGGAAGAAGCACUCUGACCUUCGAAGUAAUCAUAGAUGCUAUGGCAUUUCCCAGGUCCCCAGUGAUACUCAGGCACUUCAGCCCUCCUGGACAGACCUAAGUCUUAUGAUAGGAGACAGAAUUUUUGAGCGGCUCAAAGACUACACAGCAACUGUGGUACUGUACAGCAUUUACCUGAGCUGCCCCACCAUUAGCAUUUAGAUGGCUGGACCAGUCUUUCUUGAUGAAAAAGUUGAACCCUAGACCACCUGUCAAAUUUCAUUUUUGUUGUUUCAGUCCCUCUUUCCUUUAAAAAUAUCACAAGCACACAGUAAGGCACAAGGUUAAAGCCUCACUGAGUCAAGACAGGGUCAAGUGGUGAAGUGGGGGCUUUUUCUGAUGUCUCCCUUCAGCAGCUUGACAGUGGAGGGCAACACAGAGUAUUGCAGGGAAUCAAGUCAUAAUUUGCAUGAGCAAAUGGGAUAAAGUUCCUGUCAGAAACACUAAGGGCAGGUAUGGGAAUUAUAAGAGGGAAUUAGGUUGUGAGCUGUAAAACCUGCCUGCAGAGGCACAUGGCAGAACAAGGGAGCACAUGGCAGCACAGAGAGCCUUGUGUCCACUGGGCCCUGGGGGGAGGAGGUGUCACUCAGCAGACCCCUACAAAGUGUGCUGCUGAUGUGGCAACACGGGAUAGGUCACGCCACAUAAGGAAAUACCGUGCCUUGGAAAAGUGUAUAAAACCAACUCACUCCUUUGAAUAAACGAUUCACGCUCCCUGCUGGUCUGAGUUCGUGAUUCAGUCACUGACAGGCAGGGUUCUUUGGUUUUGGAAUCUCAGCUACAGCUUUAACAAUGUAUUUGCCUAAAGACUUUGUUAAAAUACUGCUUUUUUAAAAAUACUAUUUGUCAAAUAGGGAGCAGAAAUAAAGAAAUUCUCACAGAAUGCCUUUCCAUGCUUUUAUGAGCUCUGUAUUACCAUUAUCUGUUCACGUAAUACAGAUUGAUUUCUUUCCUUAUAGACAAGAAUGUCAAUUUUUAUACAUAUUAUGUCCACAAUUAUACAAGGAAUACUUAAAGUAAACACUGUAUCUGAACACAUUAGAAAUUUCUACACUUGUGGCUACAUAUAUUUCUGCUUCUUAGGACUUAUUACUUAUCAUUUUAUAUCGUUCAUAGACCUGAACAAAUGUGCAUUCUGGGACAAAAGCUGGCAUAUAAUGUGAUGAUAUCACUUACAAGAAUACCAUGAUUGUAUUACUGAAAAUACAUAUGUGCUGUAAAAUGCUGUUUUAUGCUGAUAAAUAAUUGAUUUGAAUAAACU